rnacentral:lncRNA from 1 species
AUUAGACGGUUGUCGGGGAGGUGAGGAUAAAGAUGCAGACUUCGAUGAAGGUUCAAUAAACUUGUGAUUGAUGCUCCACCUCCGGAAUCAUUGACCAAGACCACCAUUUCCGUGUUAACCCUGCUUGACUCAAGCAUGGCCAAACCUUUAAAGGAGAAUGAAUGGGAUUCACUGUUAAAGUUGCCUUCACCAGCCAGUGUGGGGCGUGUCUCCAUGGUCUGCCUUCGCGGUGCGGUGCCGCUACUGAAGCCGCGACCACCGCUGAAUCCGCCGCCUUCUCUGCUCCUCGAGUGGAUGCAGGUGGUGCGUAAAAGCGCACCAAUUCCUCCAGAAAAAAACAUCACGGAUCCUCCAGAGCAUUUUCACAAUAAAAGCAUACGCAAUGCGCAGCGUGCGUUUGCGGUUUCAUUUGAAAAUAGCACAGGAAGUCUCUAAUUUGACAUUCAUCGGACUUGACAACAGGAGGACGCAGGUAGCGCGGCUGAGCCAGGACCGUCCACAUCUGUCUUGGAGGAUCGAAGGGGGAAGAAUAUCCGCGCCGUGGUGUGUUCGGCUCUCUGGAUAAAAUAUAAAAGCAGUCAUUUUUCAUCCAGCCAAUAUCCAAGGAUAUUUAAAGCCUCCCAAAGUGUGGACAUUAAUAUCGCAAAGGAUUUCCGCCAAACACAAGUAAGGACUUUUGUCUCAUUUGCCAUAUUUGUGUUAUAUUUUUCUUCCGGCUGUAAGGAUGUCUCACUCUCAGCAAAAAAAGCUCCUGCUGAGGAGUGGCGAGACUUCUCAGGAAUUGUUGUUUUAAACAGCACCCAUGUGUACAACGGAAGCCAGCAGACAAUGCGUAAUGGGUCAGCAGCC